UAUCAUUAACGUUAUACGGGCCUGGCACCCUCUAUGGGUAAAUGGCCUCAUUUAAGAAGGACUUAAAUCGUUAAUUUCUCAUACUAGAAUGUUGACGUUCCGUACACUGCAUCUCACAUUUGCCAUAUAGACAAAGUACUUA
rnacentral:rRNA from 1 species